CCCUUAGAUGUUCUGGGCCGCACGCGCGCUACACUGAUUCAUGCAACAAGUUUUGUCCUUGGCUGAUAGGCCUGGGUAAUCUUUGAACGUGAAUCGUGAUGGGGAUAGAUGAUUGCAAUUAUUCAUCUUCAACGAGGAAUUCCUAGUAAACGCAAGUCAUCAGCUUGCAUUGAUUACGUCCCUGCCCUUUGUACACACCGCCCGUCGCACCUACCGAUUGAGUGGUCCGGUGAAAUCUUCGGAUCUGAGAGAUGUCUGAUUAAUUUCGGACGCCUUUUGGAAAAGUUGCUUAAACCUUACCAUUUAGAGGAAGGUGAAGUCGUANCA
rnacentral:rRNA from 1 species